AUGCUCAUAUUGAUAUUCAAGUUUAAUGUACCAAAACGUUGGUUUUCAAAUCGAUUCAUGAUAGAUAUUAAAAUGUGUUUAGUGUUGUCCAUUACUUGCAUUUUUAGUGUUGUCCAUUACUUGCAUUUUUACAUGUACAUUGGAUUUUGUUUCAUGAGAUUUAUACCGUUGUGCAUAACUUUGCCAUUUGUUGCUACCGGUAACUCGUUUUGUGCAUUUUUAGCCAUUUUCUAG